GCCCCAGCCCCGGGAUCCCCAAGUGUUCCCAUUCAGUGAUCAGGACAGAACACAGACAACUCACCAUGGAGUUUGUACUUGGCUGGGUUUUCCUUGUUGCUCUUUUAAAAGGUGUCCAGUCUGAGGUGCAGCUGGUGGAGACUGGGGGAGACCUGGUGAAGCCUGGGGGGGUCCCCCUGAGACUGGGGGAGACCUGCCUGGGGGGUCCCUGAGAAUCCUCUGGAUUCACCUUCAGUAGCUACAGCAUGAACUGGGUCCACCAGGCUCCAGGGAAGGGGCUGGAGUGGGUCGAAUAUAUUAGAUCUGAUGCAAGUAGCACAUACUACGCAGACUCUGUGAAGGGCCGAUUCACCAUCUCCAGAGACAAUGGCAAGAACACGUUGUAUCUGCAGAUGAACAGCCUGAGAGACGAGGACACGGCUGUGUAUUACUGUGCAGAUGGAGGUUAUGGGCAGGCUUCCUGUCAGAGUCUGGGCCUUCCUCUCCAUAUAUAG